CUUGCUAAAAUAUAAGAGGUCCAGCCUGCCCAGUGACCCAGUUCAACGGCCGCGGUAUCCUAACCGUGCGAAGGUAGCGUAAUCACUUGUUCUUUAAAUGGGGACUAGUAUGAAUGGCAUCACGAGGGUUGAACUGUCUCCUUUCUCUAAUCAGUGAAACUAAUCUCCCCGUGAAGAAGCGGGAAUCAUUUUAUAAGACGAGAAGACCCUAUGGAGCUUAAAACAAAUUGACACAUGCUUCCACCUACUUCAAUUCCUGAAUAAAUAUACAAAAUAUAGCAUCAUUGAUUAAUAGUUUUAGAUUGGGGUGAUCAUGGAGCAAAAAACAACCUCCACGACGAAAAGGAAUAUUCCCUGAGCCAAAAGCCACAACUUUAAGCACUAAAAAAUUAACGCAUCUUGACCCAAUUUUUUGAGCAACGAAC
rnacentral:rRNA from 2 species